rnacentral:rRNA from 1 species
AGUUUGAUUCUGGCUCAGGAUGAACGCUAGCGGCAGGCCUAACACAUGCAAGUCGAGGGGUAUUCAGUUUUCGGACUGGAGAGACCGGCGCACGGGUGCGUAACGCGUAUGCAAUCUACCUUUUACAGGGGAAUAGCCCAGAGAAAUUUGGAUUAAUGCCCCAUAGUAUAUAAACUUCGCAUGUUGUUUAUAUUAAAGUUCCAACGGUAAAAGAUGAGCAUGCGUCCCAUUAGUUAGUUGGUAAGGUAACGGCUUACCAAGACGAUGAUGGGUAGGGGUCCUGAGAGGGAGAUCCCCCACACUGGUACUGAGACACGGACCAGACUCCUACGGGAGGCAGCAGUGAGGAAUAUUGGACAAUGGGCGCAAGCCUGAUCCAGCCAUGCCGCGUGCAGGAAGAAGCAUCUAUGGUGUGUAAACUGCUUUUGUACAGGAAGAAACACUCCCUCGUGAGGGAGCUUGACGGUACUGUAAGAAUAAGGAUCGGCUAACUCCGUGCCAGCAGCCGCGGUAAUACGGAGGAUCCAAGCGUUAUCCGGAAUCAUUGGGUUUAAAGGGUCCGUAGGCGGUUUAAUAAGUCAGUGGUGAAAGCCCAUCGCUCAACGAUGGAACGGCCAUUGAUACUGUUAGACUUGAAUUACUGGGAAGUAACUAGAAUAUGUAGUGUAGCGGUGAAAUGCUUAGAUAUUACAUGGAAUACCAAUUGCGAAGGCAGGUUACUACCAGUGGAUUGACGCUGAUGGACGAAAGCGUGGGGAGCGAACAGGAUUAGAUACCCUGGUAGUCCACGCCGUAAACGAUGGAUACUAGCUGUUGGGCGCAAGUUCAGUGGCUAAGCGAAAGUGAUAAGUAUCCCACCUGGGGAGUACGUUCGCAAGAAUGAAACUCAAAUGAAUUGACGG